CCUCGAUAGGGUAAAAGUUAACUCAAAUUUCUAUGCAGUUAGAACGUUUGCCUACGUUUGCCGCUAGGGGCGCUGUUCCAAUUCCAUACAUAUUUGAGUUAACUUUCACGCUAUCGA
rnacentral:pre_miRNA from 9 species